GAUGAAGAACGUAGCGAAAUGCGAUAAGUAGUGUGAAUUGCAGAAUUCAGUGAAUCAUCGAAUCUUGGAACGCACAUUGCGCCCUUUGGUAUUCCAAAGGGCAUGCCUGUUCGAGCGUCAUUUGUACCCUCAAGCUUUGCUUGGUGUUGGGCGUCUUGUCUCUAGCUUUGCUGGAGACUCGCCUUAAAGUAAUUGGCAGCCGGCCUACUGGUUUCGGAGCGCAGCACAAGUCGCACUCUCUAUCAGCAAAGGUCUAGCAUCCAUUAAGCCUUUUUUUCAACUUUUGACCUCGGAUCAGGUAGGGAUACCCGCUGAACUUAAGCAUAUCAAUAAGCGGAGGA
rnacentral:misc_RNA from 1 species